UAAAACACCAUAGAAAUAAAAAUAAACAUCUCAACUCACUCAUUUUGCGUGACUCUGAGAAUAGCCAAUUAAAGCUAAUGUUAUUCACAUAAAUCCAAUAUGUGGCAGCGAAUGAUCAGUCAAAAUAAUCAUAGAAAAAUGUAUGUUCACGUAGCAUAUAUGAUUCAAAGGUACUUAAUGAUUCUAGUGAUUCUAGUGAUUGGAAUAUGGAGUGAUCAUCUGAAAUAAGUGCUUAAGAAACAAAAUGUUACAUACAUUCAUGUAAGUACAUACUACUAUGCAUAUGAAUUGAAAAUGUUUUUGAAUACCUUAUUGUAUUAGAGUGAAUUGAAUACCUACACAAAAACAAACAAUAUGCAUUCCUAGGACAAAUUGCAGUCUAGCAAAACAUAAGACUAAUUAAAUGAUUAUUGCAUUUGCAACCAAUUUAACUAUAAUAAUAACUAUAGGAAUAAUUCAUUAUCAAACCCAAUAGAAAACAUAUAUAUGGCAAAAUUAAAAAUUAUGUUCUGCAUGAUAUUUACCUCUUAUUUCACAGACAUAAGAAUACACUUCACCAUCCACUUAUUAGGUUUUCCCCCCAAUAUGUCAUGGUUUUUUGAACAUUUUCAUCUUCAUUAAUCAUUUCAUCAAAAAUAUUACCCGGUGGAACCCUAUCUUCAAACCCUCAGAGGUCAUCAUAAAUCAAAUCCAAACCAUUAUCACCAUUGCUUACCAUCUGCUGAGUGGCUUGAAUAGCAGUAGUGGCCGAUUGAGCAUGUUGAAUUGGCGGCAGAGCUUGUCGGUGAGAGAGAUCGCUUUGGCUGGCUGUUCAGCUUAGUGAAUCAGUGCACGAGAAGAGAAAUGGAACUGACAAAAGAAAGCAAACGACAAAGUCAAGAGGGCACACACAGAAGGCUAUUUUUUCAUCUGCAUCUCAUCUGAACUUUUGCGAAUAUUUUCACAACGCCAUGGCCAUCUGGAAAAAAGACACUGAAGACCAGCUGAUCACAAUGAUUCAGGAGAGGCCAGCUCUGUAGACAUCACAGAAAAACAUUAUGGCAACCAAGUGGGGAAAAGAGAACUCUGGUGUGAGAUUGAAAAUAAGCUUCUUAUAUCAGAGAAAGAGCUCAGGAAGAGGUGGGAAUCUCUGCGAACCCAGUAUACCCAGUACAAGAAACUUGCACUUUCAGGAAGUGUUGGAGCACAGAAAACCGGCAGGCAGCAGUGCAUACUGACCUGGCUGCAGUUUUUGGAGCCCUACACAAAAAAGAAGGCUCCACUUCACUCAGCUGCCCAACAGAACCGCUGCUUCUUCUAACUUUAACCUGAAUAACAAACCGAGGCUAGCUGGGAGGCUAGCGGAGCAUUAGCAGCAGCAUGACCGGAGGGAAGGACAGCCAGUUAGCCUCCAGUAGGACAGCUAGCCCCAGCUCUCUGUUUGGAUCCAACCAGAGCACCGAGCCCAGUCAUUUCCUCUCACACAGGUGCAGAACGUACGUGCUAGUUGGCUGUCGGAUGUAGUCUUUGUAGUGUGCUCAAAUGCAACACAGGGCAACAUGACAAGGGUGACGUGAGGCGACGCAACAGCUGGCUUUCGUUGCCUCUAGUUCUUUGAUGUUGGUUUGGUGUGUCACUUCUUUAAGAGAGAUUUGAUUGACACAACACCACCACCCCAUUUUUGGAGCCUAUUCAACUCCUUUCUGUUAGUAUUAGUUUGGUUAGUCAACAUACUCAGUCAGAUAUUCAUCAGUCUAAAGCAGAGUGGUUUUGUGGGGUGUCAAAGGUACUCCCCAUUAGUAAUUCAUGAUGAUGUGAUUUGUACAUCUCAUUGUAUCAGACUUGUCAGUUAAAAGUUAACUAUGACCUCUUCCCAUUUUGUUAUUCUGCAGUCACUCCGAGUCUCCAGUCUCCCUGAUAUGACAUUCAUUGGUUUUAUUUAUUUAUCCAUUUAUUCAUUUCCUCUGCUUAUAUGUCUUUAUCUUUACCCUACGGUAUAUUUCGUGUCCUUCAAUAUUGUACCCUCUUCCAAUGGGAAUGCCUUAUCACACCGUCUCCCCCCAGGAUCUCACAAGCUGUCUCUUCUCACCCCAACAGUAGAGCUGUCCUUGGGGGAGGUAGACCUCUGGAUCUUGAGUGAUUUUGAACCUUCACCAGCUGCAUGCAGAUUCAACUUAUGUAGAAGGUGGACGAAGGACAGUAUGAGUUAGGAUCCCAGAAAUGAACCCAGAUUGUCGAGGCAAUUUUGCAAUACCACUCUGACAAAGAGGACAAAGAUCUCUUCACAAUAUUGUCACACUUUACUUUCAGAACAUCUUGGACUCAAUUUCAUCUGUUUAAAAUUUAAAAUUGCCAUUUUAGAGCUGUUGUCAUCAUUGUUUUGAGCAAUCUCUCUUUUAUAGUACACUGAAAUCCUAGCACUGGUACAAAACUCUGAGUUAUUCUUUGCCACAGAAGCUGUCUCUGUUUAUUCCCUGUGAAAUUUAUUUCCUUUGUUGGUCAUACUUCCAUGCACUAUCCUCUCUCCUGGUUUACCGACCUGUCAACUAGAACUCAAUCGAAAUAAAACAGGAAGAAAGAUUUGAAGUUUAAAAAGUGCAAGUUUAAGGACAUGACCAAAAGGAAUGCAAAUUGGAAAGAGACAUCUCAUUUAUGUUGGGAUUUUUUGAAGGAAUUAAAAAGAGAAAUUUAAAACAUUUAGUCAAUUUACAUUUUCAGCCAAUUACCAUUCAGUUAAUUAUUCCAUUUCAUUCUCCUAAUCCUUCCAAAAACAACUAAAAUGGAGAAGGAAAACAAUAUCAUCAUUCGAAGAAAUAAAAGUUUUAUUCCUUUAAUAAACUAUCCACUACCAUAUAUGGAGACUUAUUAUAGUGUUUUUCAUUUACCUAUAUUUCUUUUGAGCAACUUUUUUGUUAUUUUGUGUCCAAACCAUUGGUUUAUACCCCCUUUUCCUAAUGUGUGGGCCUAGCAACAUGUACCAGCACAUGGAGGACAGACUGAGGAAAGAAAUACAAUCAAAUGUACACAAAUCAGACUAGAGGGUCAUGAGGAGGUACACUGACGUACCAUGGAGGAAGAGGAAAUCCGGAAUCAGUCAAUGCAUUUCCACGUGUCACAGGAUCACAGAAUUGCACCUUUAUCUUUGGCUAGAAUACACACUCUUGUAAGUGUGUACAGUUUAGCUGCUUGUGCUGAGGUACCAUUAGGUGACACUCAAGCUUCUAUCACUACACAGUCAUUCACUAUGGCAUAGCCAGCAAGGUGUUUGUUAUCAGAUGAUCUGCAACAAAUCUGGUCUUAGAGAUGUGCUCGUCUCCAUAAUAGCGAGGCAAUCAUGUUCACUUUCUGCCUCAAUCAAUGGAGAGUGGCUGUAUCUAAGGAGGGUGAGCACUUUAAACAUAUGUGGGAACUGGAAAGAAUGAUAGUCUCAUAUCCUGAGCGACAUGUUGCUGUCAUAUGCUGUGUAGUAGUGCAUCUUACAGAAUCAAAAUGAAACCCCAGUCUGAUUUACAUUUUCUAUUACCCUGUCAUUUGCAAGUGCCUUAAUCAUUUCAAGUGUUAAUUGUAAAAAAAAAAAAAAAAAAAACUCACAAAAAAAACCUCACAAAAUUUCAACACAAAAUGAGGACCAUGCACCAUGCAGUCCUGACCUAGUACAAUGGGAGAAGAUCUCUUAAUCAUGGUGGCAUGUGAAGCCACUUAUCUAAGGCAACCUGGCAUGCCAAGGACCACAGGUGAAAGCCAAGACAAGUUAUACACAACAGGUUGGCAAUGAGACCCAUAUUUCUGCACCAGGAUACCUGCAGCACCGCCUUCCCUCUCAUGUACAUGUAUGUGAAUCAGCUGAAGACUGUAUGUUUCAGUUCAUGGAAAACUUUGUAGAUAUCCUCAGUCCAUCACACAGUUGGAAGAGCAGAUUGGACUGUGGCUGCCUGCAAAACUGAGUCUAUAGCAGUGUACUAAUAAAUCCAGUGCCUGCAGUAGUUUGACUGGGAACGCCUCUUUCUUAGUCCUGGGAGGAGGCAUGUUGUUUAAAAGAUUCACUGUCUCUGGUGAGAGGAGGUGCUGUCCAUUUUUUAUAACAUGCACCAAGUAUGUCACUUUAGGUAGACAAAACUGCAGCUUCACCAAGUAGGGAUGUGCAGAGGACACAGUAUUUGUAUUUGUAUCUGUAUUUGU